AAUAGGAGGUCUUGGAAAGAAGAGAGAAAGAAAGAAAGAUAGAUAUAUAUAUAUAUAUAGAGAAAGAGAGAGAGAGAGAAAGAGAUAGAUAGAGAGAUAGAGAGAGAUAGAGAGAGUUGCGUCUGUUUUCUUUAGGACGGACAACAGGAGGAGGAUAUAACAGCGGGCCAGAUUUUGUUUUCGAAGUGAUCUGCGCAGUCACUUCCUGCCAAUAUUCGAAAAAUUGCUAGACGAUAGUACGAGAAAUAAUAGUAUGUCAUCUUUGGCAAUUGAACGAAGGAAAUGAAUGAAUUGUUAUAAAUUUUUCAUUCGAAUUCGAUUUAUAUAUCUAUGUAAACGUAAAAUUUUUUAAUCUUUCAUACAUUCGAAAGUAAGUUUUAGAGAGGGAUUGGGUAAUAUAUAAUCUCCACUUGGUGUGGAGAACUCGAUGAGGAGUCUCGCUUGGAAAUGCAACGAAAUCGUUGGACGAACGAGACCGGCGGCGGUGAUCGAUUCGCUGCGGGUGGCCUCCAAGAGAGAAAGAGAAAGAGAAAAAGAGAGAGAGAGAGAGAAAGCAGAAGAAGAAGAAGAAGAAGAAGAGAAACGAACUCGUCAAGCAGAAGGAAGAUGGAAGAAGACGAGUGUCGAGACGAGUUGCUCGUGGAAGAAGGAAAUAACAAAAGAAGCAGUAACAGCAACAGCAACAGCAACAGCAACGGCAGCACAAGUGUGCGUUACUCGGUCCGACGCCCACGGGAUUGUUCCACUAUUAUGAACCCUGGCAGAAAGGACCGUAGGACAAAGGAAAGAAGAUAUUCAUCGAUUCGUUCAAAAGUAUUACGUCGAGUCGAACGAUUACGCUUCUCUUUCGAAGAUUGAAAAAGAAGUUCCUCAUCGAAAUUGUAUUACCUAUUAAGAAAGAAGGAAAGAGAAAGAAGAAAAAGACGAAGACGAAGAUGAAGACGAAGACGAAGACGAAGACGAAGACGAAGACGAAGACGAAGACGAAGAAGGGUCCAUCAAGAAGGUGAGAAGCAAUCGUAGAUUUUAUCGCUUCGCUUCGAGACGUCAGUGCGUUUUCUGCGAUAUUCUUUAGCGAGCUACGACACGGCAUCGAUCCGCUCUAGCCCCACCCCUGAAUUCUCUCUCUCUCUCUCUCUUUCUCUUCUUCCUUUCUCUCGUUCUUCACCCUCUUCCCUCUUCGGUUCUCUUCUACCGAAUGCUCCCUCGUAGAAUACUCUCUGCCCUCGUACCUUAACCAUUCAAUCUCUAAAUCACAAUAAUAUCGCGCUGAUGCACGGCAGCGCGACUCCGCAUUAACAUAGGAUACAAAUAUGUAAUCCCAGACAUGGCUGGCGGCCAUCUGAUAUGUUCAUUAUAUGUAUGUAUAUAUGUAUGUCUGUCUGUAUGUAUGUAUGUAUGUAUGUAUGUAUGUAUAUAUAUAUAACGUAGAGAAGAGAACGCGUGGGUACAUCGUAUCACGGCAUUCUGUUUUCUUUUCUUCUGUCUCGCUUGUAUAACUUGAUGGUAACGAGAGAUGAAGAGAAAGAUGUAGAGAAAGAGAGAUAAAGAGGGAGAUAGAUAAAUAGAUAGAUAGAUAGACAGAGAAAGAAAGAGAGAGAGAGAGAGAGAAAGAGAGAGAUAAAAAGAGAUAAUCGAAAAUAGGAAUAAUUUUAAAUUUAUUCGUUGCAAAAGGAAAAUGAUCGGCACGCGACUCGAUCUCGUAAGACGACUUCGAUCUUCGAAAAGGACGAAAGAACAUUUGGAGGAUUGAUCGUUGAGCGUGGGCACCGAGUCAAUCGUUCGUCCUUUCCAUCUUUCAUUUCCCCCACCUAAUGUUCAUUGUUAUUAUUUCUCUUUCGUCGUUGAAAACUCUCUCUCUCUCUCUCUCUCUCUCUCUCUCUCUUUCUGUUACGUAUUUAAAGAUAUCGGACGAUCGAACGAUAAGAGAACGGUCGCUUAGAGGACGAUGAGUUUUCUUGCGUCGAUCGAAGCAACGCGAAAAAAAUCGACUCGCAAAGGAAUGCUUUUAAAAUGCUAAAAGGAAGAUAUACCUACCUACCUACCUACCUACCUACCUAUCUACCUACCUACCAACCAACCUACCGAAGGGUGUGCCUUGCUUCGUUCCAACGAUGACGAAGAGAGUGACGCGUCUUGUCCAAUGGCACGUCAGUCGUUUCUUUUGCACUCGAAAUGGUUACCUUCGUGAAACCGCGACGACUUCGUCGGGACGAAACAGAACAAGACAUAAGCGAUAAAAGUCAGCAUUUUGUGGCGAGACCAUAAGAUAUUUAACCUUUAACUAAAAGUUCUCUUUUGAUUAUUUCC